AGUUUUAUAAUAUGAUCUCAUAUUUGACAUGAUUUAGAAUAACACAUGGAGGAUUAGUGUAUUUAAAUCAGUUCUCAGGAAAAGCACAUCAUCUCUCAGGGCUUCAGAAUUUCAGCCUCUGACUCUUGAGUCUUAUCUUGGAUAUCAGGACUCAGCCAAAUAUGAAGAUCCUUGUCUUUGCCUUUAUCAUGGCUCUCAUGGUUGCCAUGAUCGGAGCUGAUUCAUCUGAAGAGCAGAAACAUGGAAGGUAUCCUCCAUGGUUUAGAUGGUAUUUAAAUCAGCCACGUCAAUAUCCUUGGAUACUUCCAAUAAAUGACCUACCAGUUCCUUAUCCACCUCCUUUCAAUUUUGCUCCGUAAUCCCAGGAUAUGAUUCCAGAGGCUUGGUGGAAAGUCCUAUUUGCUGUCUUUCCUGAUGAUUCUUCCUAUUCAAAAGUCCUUUACCCACCUAGCAAAAUUUUGUAGCCAGGAUAUAAUAAACACUCUCAAAGUGCUUUUAAAAUCAUGUUUUGAAAAGUAAUUAAAACACUACAGUUUUACUUUUAUUAUGGUAUGUAGUAUAUCAGAAUUUAAAAAUAA